rnacentral:rRNA from 1 species
GACGAACGCUGGCGGCGUGCCUAACACAUGCAAGUCGAGCGAUCGGCUCGGGCGGGGCAACCCACCCGGGUACGGAGCGGCGAACGGGUGAGUAACACGUGAGCAACCUACCCCGAAGACCGGGAUAACCCCGGGAAACCGGGGCUAAUACCGGGUAACCUCGGCGGACCGCGUGGUCGGCCGAGCGAAGGGUCGUCGGGGGCAACCCCGGCUCCGCUUCGGGAUGGGCUCGCGGCCUAUCAGCUCGUUGGUGGGGUCACGGCCCACCAAGGCGACGACGGGUAGCUGGCGUGAGAGCGCGGCCAGCCACACUGGGACUGAGACACGGCCCAGACUCCUACGGGAGGCAGCAUG